rnacentral:ncRNA from 2 species
UUAUCCUGCCUCGCUUCAGGUGCCGGAUGCGUGACACACAUCCGGUGAAACGGGAAGCCGGUGCGACCAUGGCCCAAGGCCAUGGACAAUGCCGGCGCUGCCCCCGCAACGGUAGGCGAGGUGGGGGGUCCAUGGUGUUUCCAGGAUCCCCGGCAGGGCGAUACAACCACUGCGCGCAAGCGUGGGAAGGUGCCCUGACCAGGUCGUACAUGACCCGCCCGCGAGCCCGGAGACCGGCCUGAUGCGCUUACGCGGC